UUUUUGCGUAAGGGAUAGAAGUGGAAAUCCUUUUUUGACUAAAAAAGAUUGCAACGAAUAGCCCGACCCGAG
rnacentral:sRNA from 1 species